CCGCCCGUCACAUCACGAAAGUGGGCUGUACUAGAAGUGGCUGAGCUAACUCUUCGGGGAAGCAGGUCACGACGGUAUGGUUCAUGAUUGGGGUG
rnacentral:rRNA from 1 species